UACGUAGGGUGCGAGCGUUAAUCGGAAUUACUGGGCGUAAAGUGUGCGCAGGCGGCAGAGCAAGUCGAGUGUGAAAGCCCCGGGCUUAACUUGGGAAUUGCGCUCGAAACUACUUUGCUGGAGUGUGGCAGAGGAAGGUGGAAUUCCACGUGUAGCGGUGAAAUGCGUAGAUAUCGGGAGGAACACCUGUGGCGAAAGCGGCUCACUGGACCACAACUGACGCUGAGGCGCGAAAGCUAGGGGAGCAAACAGG
rnacentral:rRNA from 1 species